UAAAGCGUGCGCAGGCGGUUAUGUAAGACAGAUGUGAAAUCCCCGGGCUCAACCUGGGAACUGCAUUAGUGACUGCAUAGCUGGAGUACGGCAGAGGGGGAUGGAAUUCCGCGUGUAGCAGUGAAAUGCGUAGAUAUGCGGAGGAACACCGAUGGCGAAGGCAAUCCCCUGGGCCUGUACUGACGCUCAUGCACGAAAGCGUGGGGAGCAAACAGGAUUAGAUACCCAGU
rnacentral:rRNA from 1 species